GUCGAGCGAGCGGAACCACAGAUUUACUUCGGUAAUGACGUUGGGAAAGCGAGCGGCGGAUGGGUGAGUAACACGUGGGGAACCUGCCCCUAAGUCUGGGAUACCAUUUGGAAACAGGUGCUAAUACCGGAUAAUAAAGCAGAUCGCAUGAUCAGCUUUUGAAAGGCGGCGUAAGCUGUCGCUAAGGGAUGGCCCCGCGGUGCAUUAGCUAGUUGGUAAGGUAACGGCUUACCAAGGCGACGAUGCAUAGCCGAGUUGAGAGACUGAUCGGCCACAUUGGGACUGAGACACGGCCCAAACUCCUACGGGAGGCAGCAGUAGGGAAUCUUCCACAAUGGACGCAAGUCUGAUGGAGCAACGCCGCGUGAGUGAAGAAGGUUUUCGGAUCGUAAAGCUCUGUUGUUGGUGAAGAAGGAUAGAGGUAGUAACUGGCCUUUAUUUGACGGUAAUCAACCAGAAAGUCACGGCUAACUACGUGCCAGCAGCCGCGGUAAUACGUAGGUGGCAAGCGUUGUCCGGAUUUAUUGGGCGUAAAGCGAGCGCAGGCGGAAAAAUAAGUCUAAUGUGAAAGCCCUCGGCUUAACCGAGGAACUGCAUCGGAAACUGUCUUUCUUGAGUGCAGAAGAGGAGAGUGGAACUCCAUGUGUAGCGGUGGAAUGCGUAGAUAUAUGGAAGAACACCAGUGGCGAAGGCGGCUCUCUGGUCUGCAACUGACGCUGAGGCUCGAAAGCAUGGGUAGCGAACAGGAUUAGAUACCCUGGUAGUCCAUGCCGUAAACGAUGAGUGCUAAGUGUUGGGAGGUUUCCGCCUCUCAGUGCUGCAGCUAACGCAUUAAGCACUCCGCCUGGGGAGUACGACCGCAAGGUUGAAACUCA
rnacentral:rRNA from 1 species